rnacentral:snRNA from 1 species
GUUGCUUCUCAGCCUUUUGACUAAGAUCAAGGGGUAGUAUCUGUUCUAAUCCGUUUAAUAUCUGAUAUGUCCUCUAUCUAAGGACAGCGUAUUAAAUUGAUUUUUGCAACAGGGAGGUGGAAAAGGGGCUUGCCCCAUCUACUCCAAGCAUCAACCUGGCAUUGCCGUACUUCCAGAAAUGGUGCACCCUUC